GUUUUAAUAAUUUAAAUAAAAUAUUGGUCUUGUAAAUCAAAUUUAAGAAUUAUUCUUUUAAAACU
rnacentral:tRNA from 1 species